UCUAAAAAAGAAGGCAAGUUAAAGCGACAGAUUUGUCACGCUCAUGACGCAAUAAUGUAGGUCUUGACUUGGCAAACAUAUUUAAUGCAAUAAACAAUAAGUCGACGAGGAACAAAGUUACAAGCGCAUCGAAAGGGCAACAUUAGUUACAUAAGGAAUAUAGGUCAAAGCUCUUCAUCAAACUGAGGCUCAAACGGGGCCACGAAUGCUGAGGGUGAAAAUGCGCAAAGGAAGAGAAAGAAAAAGAAGAAAACAAGUGAAGAGAAAGAGGAAUUUAAUAAAGUUAAAAUUCUAAAAAUUAACGGAAAGACAAAAUUUAAAUAGCUAUAUUCGAUAUCAUAGUUAUUAACUUCAUGGCUCCUGGUAUUUAUGGUAUUUUAAGCAAAACAGAAUUUCUUAUAAAAUAUUGUAUUUGUUUAAUUUAUAUUUUGCUUGUAAUAUUCUAA
rnacentral:lncRNA from 13 species